rnacentral:rRNA from 1 species
UACGUAGGGAGCAAGCGUUGUUCGGAUUUACUGGGCGUAAAGGGCGCGUAGGCGGCGCGACAAGUCACUUGUGAAAUCCCCGGGCUUAACCUGGGAACUGCGUUUCUAACUGGCAGGCUUGAGUUCGGCAGGGGAGACUGGAAUUCCUGGUGUAGCGGUGAAAUGCGCAGAUAUCAGGAGGAACACCGGUGGCGAAGGCGGGUCUCUGGGCCGAUACUGACGCUGAGGAGCGAAAGCGUGGGGAGCGAACAGG